GACGCUGGCGGCGUGCCUAAUACAUGCAAGUUGAACGCAACAAAGACACCAGAGCUUGCUCUUACCGUCUUUGUUGAGUAGCGAACGGGUGAGUAACGCGUGGGUAACCUGCCUUAUAGCGGGGGAUAACUAUUGGAAACGAUAGCUAAUACCGCAUAACAAUAGAGAUUGCAUAAUCUUUAUUUGAAAGUGCCAACUGGUACACUAUGAGAUGGACCCGCGUUGUAUUAGCUAGUUGGUAGUGUAAUGGACUACCAAGGCGAUGAUACAUAGCCGACCUGAGAGGGUGAUCGGCCACAUUGGGACUGAGACACGGCCCAAACUCCUACGGGAGGCAGCAGUGGGGAAUCUUCGGCAAUGGACGAAAGUCUGACCGAGCAACGCCGCGUGAGUGAAGAAGGUUUUCGGAUCGUAAAACUCUGUUGUUAGAGAAGAAUGUUGAUUAGAGUGGAAAAUUAAUCAAGUGACGGUAUCUAACCAGAAAGGGACGGCUAACUACGUG
rnacentral:rRNA from 1 species